UUAUUGUUGAAAUCAAAGCAGACAAGACGAUGAGAGGGGGAGAUAGAGAGGGGGGACGAAGAGAGAGAAAAAGACAGAGAGAGGGAGAGAGAGUCAGAGAGAGAGAAAGAGCUAAAAGAUAGAGAUGUUGACAUUUAAUGUAUGUGUAUGUGUUAGUAUGCAGAGUUUGUCCUUCUGGUAAGAAAGUUCAUACUGUGUUGUGUGUAACCUGUGAUUUAGAGAGUGUGUUAUGAAAGAGUUUGAUGUAUCUAGCGUGAAGUGUUCUUUAGUGUUAUAUUAAGUGUAGGUCUAUCA